UGAGAUAGCCGGACAAUCGCGGACACAAGUCGAAAGGCUGUGUAUGAGGAAAGUCCGGGCUCUUUAGAACCAAGGGCGCCGGGUAGUUCCCGGUGAAGGCGACUUUAAGGAUAGUGCAACAGAGAUAUACCGCCGGCCGCGAGGCCGGUAAGGGUGGAAAGGCAGGGUAAGAGCCUACCGGCGGCAUGGUAACAUGCCGGCCAUGUAAACCCCGUCCGGAGCAACACCGUGGAGGAACAUAUGCUGAGGUUCAGGCGUUCCGAGGAGGUGGCUUGAGCCCUGAUGAGAGUCAGGGCCUAGAUAAAUGAUUGUCCAAGACAGAACCCGGCUUAUAGGCUAUCUCAGAUU
rnacentral:RNase_P_RNA from 1 species